rnacentral:rRNA from 1 species
AACGCGAAGAACCUUACCAAGUCUUGACAUCCCAAUGACCGGAACUUAACCGUUCCUUCCCUACGGGGCAUUGGAGACAGGUGGUGCAUGGUUGUCGUCAGCUCGUGUCGUGAGAUGUUGGGUUAAGUCCCGCAACGAGCGCAACCCUUAUCCUUAGUAGCCAGCAGUUCGGCUGGGCACUCUAGGGAGACUGCCAGGGAUAACCUGGAGGAAGGUGGGGAUGACGUCAAAUCAUCAUGCCCCUUAUGAUUUGGGCUACACGCGUGCUACAAUGGCGUAAACAAAGGGAAGCGACCCCGCGAGGGCAAGCAAAUCUCAAAAAUAACGUCUCAGUUCGGAUUGCAGGCUGCAACUCGCCUGCAUGAAGCUGGAAUCGCUAGUAAUCGCGAAUCAGAAUGUCGCGGUGAAUACGUUCCCGGGUCUUGUACACACCG